UGACCAGAAAUAUGAUGCAGCUAUCAGCAGUGAUUCAUUCCUAUGCAUAUCGGCAAUGGACAACCUAAUGCAUUGGUCUAGCUUUCUCUCACCCCACUGGACCUCAUUUGAGUUGCUGACUCUCAAAAACCAAUCUGUCCAUCCUACAGUAGGGCUGGGCCAAGAACGGAAAGUGUCCCUCCACAGAUCCAAAGAAAAGUUCUCGGCCCUAAAAGGAAUCCUGUUGGUUUCUGCGUUAAUGAGAUCGGUUGGAUCUGGAUCCCCUAACGGGCCAAGGCAUUGGAGAUGUGGCUGAUCGGUGGGGAUGACAAUUUUGUUGGACAACUCCUAAUAGUUUUGAAGGUAAAAAAAGGGAAAACAAUGAAAGAAAAAGAAAAUAUUCAGUACGAUGGAUUGCGGAUGAACAGGGAUGUGAGAAAAAGUAUAGGAGAUGGAAUGAAGAACUGACCUCACGAACGACGAAGUUGACGGCCAUCUUGCCGCGGGGAGGAUGAUCGAGGGCUUCGGAGUUGGUGAAGAAGGAACUUCGUCAGGGAUCUCGGAGACCUUGAGUAGCGCCGCCGCUGGGAAAGUAAAGUUGGGGUUUUGGA
rnacentral:lncRNA from 1 species